AUUUAACACAGCUCUGGCCAGUUAGAUCUAAGGAGUCUUGUUGGGGGUAUAUGUGAGUUCUUCAGGAUAAAAGGGACAAAUGCUUUCAAUUAACCCUAAACUUAACCAUCCCUCUUCCUUCCCGUCUUAAAUGUGAAUGCAGAUGAAAUGCCAGGAGCCUUGGCAGCCAUCUUGUAAACAAGAGGGAAAAGUCAAGCAAAUUGCAGAGACACCAGCCCUGACAUCAUUGGCCUGGUAAAACAAUGCCAGCCAGAGCUGAUCUCCAAGCUCACUGGCACUGGGAGGAAAUUAACUCCUGUUUGUCUAGAUCAUUGUGAUUUGUUUUGUAUUUUCUGUAGCCAAACACAUUCUUAACUUUAACGAGGAUGGGUAUUUGAUAGAAUUCAGAAGAGAAGGAAAAUUAGAGGGAAAAUGAGAGUGGAGGGCAAAGGUCAAGUGCAGAGCCUUUUUGUUUGAAGAUAGGGGAGGUCUGAGAUGUUUUUAUUAUAACUAAUAUUUAUUGAGCACACAGGGGCACAGGGAUUUACGCGCAUCAACUUAUUUCUCACCACAAUCUUCUGAGCCAGGACUGGCUUUAUCCCCUAUCAUCCUCAGGCAACUUUGGCCCAGAGACGCAAAGCAACUUGUCCAAAGGUCCUAGAGCUACUAGGCAGUGGAGGCAGGAUCUGAACUCAAGCAGAUGGAGUCCAGCCAAAAACGAAUCUUGGUCUCCUUAGUCAAUGGAGUGAGUGAAGAAGCACGCACCCCUCUUAGAGCCUCAGUUUCCCACUGUGUGAAAUGGGGCUGACUGUCUCACCUCCAGUGUCAGGCCAUCAGGAGCCUGCCUUUCUGUGGGUGUCCCCUGUGAGGGCUGAGGCAAGAGCAGAUGGCACCGGGUUACAGGGUGGGUUCUGAGAUGGGCCAGCGGGGUGAACUGGCAUCAGCUGGCCCAGCCGGCCAGGGGUGGCAGGCGUCGCUGUCUGGUGUUUCGGGUCAGUGAGGUCAGCACCUCCCCUUCCGGCUCCAACGCUGUGUCCCUCUGCCCUGCCAGGAACCCUGCCAGGGCCACCCAGCGGAGAGGAAGGAGUUUGUGCACGAUGGCCGCUGGGGGCAGGGGACCUGGAGGGAGCAGCCAGGUCCUGGCUCCAGGGUCCGCUGAAAUGCUGGAGGCUCUGUGACCCCGCUGGCCUUGUCUGGGCCUCAGUUUCCUCCUCUAUAAAAUGGGGCUUGAACAGUACCUUAGCGGCUGUUGAGACGGUUCACAGACAUGACCGCUCAGCUGCAGCGCGGUGCGGGGACGCGCGCGGGGAGCCCCAAAGCGGCCCGUGCAGCGCGUGGGUCCCUCCCAGGCCGAUCUCACUCCGGGUCCGCCCCAGUUCCCGCCCCGAGCAUUUCCGGGCUGGCCUCAGGAAAUACCAGACCCCGGCCNNNNNNNNNNNNNNNNNNNNNNNNNNNNNNNNNNNNNNNNNNNNNNNNNNNNNCGCCGCCCCCCCUCCCCCUCCUCCCGGCCACCGCCGGGCCUUUGCUCACAUCUCCGUCCCAGGGGAGUGCCAGCUCUCUUGGGCCCGGCCUUCGAGACUCGCCCGCUGCUGCCAUCCGAGCCUUCUAGACGGUGUGCACCUCCUCCCCGUCGUCCUCCUCCAACUCUUUACUCCGGUGCUGCGAGAAGGGGCAGGAGUCCCACGCCACUGGGAAGCCAAGUAGGCAGGCUCUCGCAUCCCUGAUGUGAGCAGGUAGGGGCUACUGCCUUCUAUGUGGGGCCCCACGUGUCUACUAUUAUGGGUCUGCUGACCUGUGUGCCUGCCGUCAUCAGAAUCAGGCUCAACACGCUCCAUCCACGGAAAGUCCCAGCCUCCACUCACCCCUUGUGCCUCCAUCUCUUCUCUGUCACCCCCCCCCCCACGCACACACACCAAAAUAAAAAUUAAAAGUUAAAAAUGGAGUGUCUUGUU
ensembl:lncRNA